UAGAGAAAGAAAUGUUAUAUAGUGAUAAAGAACCUUUUCUCUCGAACACAAUACGGAAUUAAAAUCGAGUUGUGUCACCGUGAGUGGGCGGAUCGAUAAACAAAACUUCCGUUCGCGGGUAGUAGUGCGGUCAAAGUUGAGGUCAGGGGACGUUGUUGUUUGUCAUUGUUGUGCGGUCAUGGUGCGCAAGGAUGCUAAUUCAUACCCUUCAGCCAAAUACCAGAAGCUCUGUCAGGAGGACGAUGGUUUUGUCGAUGCUCAGUUUAAGGUACCAGUAUUCGUUUGUC